GCGCCGGUAGCUCAGCGGAAACAUAAAGCUUCCAUGCUUUAUCAGAGCCGCGGUCUUCGAAGCCGUGGGUCGGAGGUUCGAAUCCUCCCCGGCGCA
rnacentral:tRNA from 1 species